rnacentral:tRNA from 6 species
GGAGGGCUCGCAUAGUGGCCUAGUGCGGCGGUCUUGAAAACCGCUAUGGCGGCAACGUCAUCGUGGGUUCGAAUCCCACGCCCUCCGCCA